rnacentral:rRNA from 1 species
UGGGGAAUAUUGGGCAAUGGACGCAAGUCUGACCCAGCAACGCCGCGUGAAGGAAGAAGGCUUUCGGGUUGUAAACUUCUUUUAAGAGGGAAGAGCAGAAGACGGUACCUCUUGAAUAAGCCACGGCUAACUACGUGCCAGCAGCCGCGGUAAUACGUAGGUGGCAAGCGUUGUCCGGAUUUUACUGGGUGUAAAGGGCGUGCAGCCGGGCCGGCAAGUCAGAUGUGAAAUCCCCAGGCUCAACCUGGGAACUGCAUUUGAAACUGUUGGUCUUGAGUAUCGGAGAGGUAAUCGGAAUUCCUUGUGUAGCGGUAGAAAUGCG